CCUACGGGAGGCAGCAGUGAGGAAUAUUGGUCAAUGGCCGGAAGCCUGAACCAGCCAAGCCGCGUGAAGGACGACGGCCCUACGGGUUGUAAACUUCUUUUAUCAGGGAAUAAAGUGAGGCACGUGUGCCUGUCUGCAUGUACUUUAUGAAUAAGGACCGGCUAAUUCCGUGCCAGCAGCCGCGGUAAUACGGAGAAUCCGGGCGUUAUCCGGAUUUAUUGGGUUUAAAGGGAGCGUAGCUGGGCUGUUAAGCCGGUUGUUAAUGCCCCCGGCCAAACCGGUGAAGUGCAAUUGAUACUGGCGUGCUUGAGUGCGGGUGAGGUAGGAGGAAUGUGUGGUGUAGCGGUGAAAUGCUUAGAUAUGACGCAGAACUCCGAUUGCGAAGGCAGCUUACUACAGCGCGACUGACGCUGAUGCACGAAAGCGUGGGUAUCAAACAGGAUUAGAUACCCUUGUAGUC
rnacentral:rRNA from 1 species